CCUACGGGAGGCAGCAGUGAGGAAUAUUGGUCAAUGGGCGCGAGCCUGAACCAGCCAAGUAGCGUGAAGGAUUACUGCCCUACGGGUUGUAAACUUCUUUUAUAAAGGAAUAAAGUGAGGCACGUGUGCCUUUUUGUAUGUACUUUAUGAAUAAGGAUCGGCUAACUCCGUGCCAGCAGCCGCGGUAAUACGGAGGUUCCGAGCGUUAUCCGGAUUUCUUGGGUUUCAAGGGAGCGUAGAUGGGUUGUUACGUCAGUUGUGAAAGUUUGCGGCUCAACCGUAAAAUUGCAAUUGAUACUGGCAGCCUUGAGUACAGUUGAGGUAGGCGGAAUUCGUGGUGUAGCGGUGCCAUGCUUAGCUUUCACGAAGAACUCCGAUUGCGCCGGCAGCCUACUCAACUGCCCCUGACAUUGAUGCUCGAAAGUGUGGGUAUCAAACAGGAUUAGAUACCCCUGUAGUC
rnacentral:rRNA from 1 species